rnacentral:rRNA from 1 species
AGAGUUUGAUCCUGGCUCAGGAUGAACGCUAGCGGCAGGCGUAAUACAUGCAAGUCGAGCGGCAAGUCGAGGAGUAAUCUGAGACCUAGAGCGGCGUACGGGUGCGUAACGCGUAUGCAACCUACCUCAUACAGGGGGAUAGCCCGGAGAAAUCUGGAUUAAUACCCCAUGGCACAGCACAAGGGCAUCUGCGAGCUGUUAAAGAUUCAUCGGUAUGAGAUGGGCAUGCGUCUGAUUAGCUAGUUGGCGGUGUAACGGACCACCAAGGCGACGAUCAGUAGGGGUUCUGAGAGGAAGGUCCCCCACACUGGCACUGAGAUACGGGCCAGACUCCUACGGGAGGCAGCAGUAGGGAAUAUUGGGCAAUGGACGAGAGUCUGACCCAGCCAUGCCGCGUGCAGGAAGACGGCGUUCUGCGUUGUAAACUGCUUUUAUCUGGGAAGAAAAGGCCCGUGCGCGGGACAUUGCCGGUACCAGAUGAAUAAGCACCGGCUAACUCCGUGCCAGCAGCCGCGGUAAUACGGAGGGUGCAAGCGUUGUCCGGAUUUAUUGGGUUUAAAGGGUGCGUAGGCGGCUGUUUAAGUCAGUGGUGAAAGACAUCGGCUCAACCGAUGCAGUGCCAUUGAUACUGGGCAGCUUGAGUGUUGGAGGGGUACAUGGAAUUGAUGGUGUAGCGGUGAAAUGCAUAGAUACCAUCAGG